rnacentral:rRNA from 1 species
UACGUAGGGUGCAAGCGUUGUUCGGAAUUACUGGGCGUAAAGCGCGUGUAGGCUGUCCUCCAAGUCUGAUGUGAAAGCCCUGGGCUUAACCCAGGAACUGCAUUGGAAACUAGUGGACUGGAGUCCGGGAGAGGGUCGCGGAAUUCCUGGUGUAGAGGUGAAAUUCGUAGAUAUCAGGAGGAACACCGGUGGCGAAGGCGGCGACCUGGACCGGUACUGACGCUGAGACGCGAAAGCGUGGGGAGCAAACAGGAUUAGAUACCCUGGUAGUCCACGCUGUAAACGAUGAGCGCUAGAUGUCGCGGGUAUUGACCCCCGCGGUGUCGCAGGUAACCCAUUAAGCGCUCCGCCUGGGGAGUACGGCCGCAAGGCUAAA